UUGAUUUGAAGAAGAAAAGAUCUACACGUCAUGCAUGAGCAAUCUGUGGGAGGAAAUGAAUAAUGAUUAGGCCUGUAUGCUGAUUUGUAUCUGGAUCAGUUACCAGGGAUGGUGGAAUGGACCUGCUCCACAGACAGGAAAGGCAGGCUCAAACAAUAAGACAAACCCUCAAAUAAGCAGGAUGAGUUAAGAAGAAAGCAAAGUAAACAGUGUGUUCCAGAGGUGUCCCUUUGUCAGCCAUCAGCAGGAGACAACCAGCUGCUAAAUAAACUUAGAUUCCCCCCUUAUAUUCUUCAUGGACUCACAAGAAAAAGAGUGCAACAGACUAUUAAAGCAGCAAAGAGCAGAGUCAGCACCAACAGCUGAGUUAGGCAACUUAGCAGGUAAAAAGUGAAGGACAGGACACUAAUGAAAGUAAGACAAUUAGAAGUGAAGGAGGAAAUGUGAGAACAAUCUUUGGAAAGUGGAAAUAAAGCUACUGGAAAAAGAAAUUUCAUAUGAUAUUCCUAUGAAUAUUUACAUCCCAAGAAAUAAAAAGAGAAAAAACACAAGUCCUUUUCCUUAUUUAGGGGGAUUGGAGUCUGAACUACAAGGAGCUGGA